ACCAUGGGUUCCAAUGCACGAGAUCUUGUAGCACUUACCAAUGAGGUCCUAUCGAUUAGUAUUACACAGAAGAAAUCAAUUAUAGACACUAAUACAAUUAGAUCCGCUCUUCAUAGACAAACUUGGGAUUUGCGAUCCCAGGUAAGAUCGGUUCAGGAUCAUGGAAU